AGAGUUUGAUCCUGGCUCAGGACGAACGCUGGCGGCGCGCUUAACACAUGCAAGUCGAGCGAGAACCGGGUCUUCGGACCCGGGGAAAGCGGCGAACGGGUGAGUAACACGUGAGUAAUCCACCCUCGGCACCGGGAUAGCCCGGGGAAACCCGGAUUAAUACCGGAUGGCCCAACAGCUCUUCGGGGCGGUUGGAAAAGGUAGCUUCGGCCUCCGGCCGAGGACGAGCUCGCGGCGGAUUAGCUUGUUGGUGGGGUAAUGGCCUACCAAGGCGACGAUCCGUAGCUGGUCUGAGAGGACGAUCAGCCACACUGGGACUGAGACACGGCCCAGACUCCUACGGGAGGCAGCAGUGGGGAAUCUUGCGCAAUGGGCGAAAGCCUGACGCAGCGACGCCGCGUGAGGGAAGAAGGCUUUCGGGUUGUAAACCUCUUUCAGGAGGGACGAAGCUACUCGGGUUAAUAGCCCAGAGGGUGACGGUACCUCCAGAAGAAGCCCCGGCUAACUACGUGCCAGCAGCCGCGGUAAU
rnacentral:rRNA from 1 species